rnacentral:tRNA from 1 species
GGGGAUGUGGAUCAGCGGUAGAGUGCUCACCUAGCACGUGUGAGGUGCUGGAUUCGAUCCUCAGCCCACA